AAUUGUGGAAUCUAUUCUUUACAUCGGUGGAACCUUUGAUUAAAGGUUUUAAACAGGAGGGCUCCAGUAGUGAGAAACCAAGUUCCUUGUUUUCAUGCUUCUUGGCUAUGAGUAGAAGCCAUGAACUUGUUACAUUGCUGCAUAGGGAAAAGAAUCUUGUUCCUGAUAUAUUCUCAAUUCUAACAGUCUCAACAGCUUCUGAAGCUAUUAAAUGUUAUGUCCUGAAGUUCAUUGAGAACUUGCUGAAUCUUGAUAAAGAGUUGGAUGAUGAUGACACUGCUGUCAAGAGUAUUCUACUUCCAAAUCUUGAAGCGCUAAUCUGCAGCUUGCAUUGUCUUUUUCAGCAUGAUAACGCUUCUAAGAGGAAAUCACAUAAAUAUCUGGGAGGGAAUGAGGUCAGAAUUUUCAAAUUGUUAUCCAAAUACAUAAAGGAUCCAUUGCAAGCAAGGACAUUUAUAGAUAUCUUGUUACCCUUCUUAGCUAAAAGGGUUGAAGAUUCUGAUGCAUGUCCACAAGCUUUGGAAGUGAUUCAGGAUAUGAUACCAACAUUAGGAAUUGAGAGUACUGCAAAAAUUCUAAAUGCGGUUUCUCCUCUUCUCGUUACUGUUUCACCCGAUGUGCGGUUUUGCAUUUGUGAUCUUCUUGACACUCUUGCUAAAGUUGACUCUUCUGUCCUCUCUGUGGCAAAACUUAUCCGAGAGCUGAAUUCAACCUCUAAGAUGGAAGUGGAUGGCCUUGAUGAUGAUGCCAUAAUUAAUACGUAUGAAAGAAUUGAUGUUCAAUUUUUCAUUACAAUUGGAGAGGAACAUACCUCGGUCAUCUUGUCACAGUGCGUAUUUGAUAUGUCAUCUGAGGAAUUAGUCUUAAGGCAGAGUGCAUAUAGCAUAGUUCUCUCAUUUAUUGAAUUCUGUGUCCUAAUGCUUGGGCAAGAGAAUGGGAGACAAUAUGAAUCUGGGGAGAUGGGGACAUUUGAUGGAAAUCGUUGGACAAGAGCAUGUAUCCUGCGUUUAAUAAACAAGUGUCUUUUGAAACAUAUUGGGGAUGCAAUGAGCCAAGGAAAUUCUGUUAAAAAGGAAUGGAUUGAUAUACUUCGAGAUAUGGUGUUGAAACUUCCAGAUGAUGCCAAUUUUAGUUCAUUUAAAGCUCUAUGCUCUGACGAUGCUGAAAUCGAUUUUUUCUACAACAUUGUUCACUUACAGAAGCAUCGAAGAGCAAGGGCACUCUUGCGCUUUAAAAACAUCAUCAGUAAAACCAAGCUGCCUGAGGGCAUUGUGAAAAACGUAUUUGCUCCACUCUUUUUCAGUAUGCUGCUUGACUUAAAAGAUGGGAAGGAUGAACAUGUUAGAGCUGCUUGCAUGGAAGCCCUUGCUUCUGUUUGUGUUCAUAUGGAAUGGAAGUCUUACUAUGCACUAUUGAGCCGAUGUUUUCGUGAGAUGAGGAAAAACGCUAACAAGCAAAAGGUUCUAGUGCGGCUAGUUUGUGCUGUUUUGGAUCAAUUCCAUUUUUCACAACCAGUUUCCAGUCAAGCGGGUGAAGAAUUUUUGGUUGGUGUCAGUGCUGAUAACAUGAAUGAGAUAAGGUCUUGUCUUCAUAAAACUUUGCUUCCCAAGAUCCAAAAGUUAAUGACUUCUGAUACCGAUAGCAUUAAUGUUAAUAUCAGCCUUGCUGCAGUGAAAAUAUUAAAGUUGCUUCCAGGUAAUAUAAUGGACACGCAGCUUCCUACUGUCACUAAUAAAAUUUGUAAUUCUCUCAAGAGCCGAUCAGAAAACAUUCGUGAUGAAGCAAGGACGGCUUUGGCUGCUUGUUUGAAGGAGCUUGGGCUGGAAUACUUGCAAUAUGUAGUUAAAGUUUUACGUGCUACCCUGAAGCGAGGAUAUGAACUGCAUGUAUUGGGUUACACACUUUAUUUUAUUUUAUCAAAAUACCUUAUGAAUCACAGUGGUGGGUCUUUAGAUUAUUGUUUGGAAGAUCUCAUCUCUGUAGUGGAGAAUGACAUUCUUGGAGAGGUUGCUGAGGAGAAAGAGGUGGAAAAGAUUGCAUCCAAAAUGAAAGAAACCAAAAAAUGCAAGUCCUUUGAGUCUUUGAAAUUAAUUGCUCAAAACAUAACUUUCAAAAGUCAUGCCUUGAAAUUGCUUACUCCUGUUAAAGCGCAUUUGCAGAAGCAUCUGACUCCAAAAGUGAAAACAAAAUUGGAAAGUAUGCUAGAUCACAUUGCGGCUGGUAUUGAACUCAAUCCAUCAGUUGAACAGACUGACCUAUUCACCUUUAUAUACGGUCUGCUUGAAGAUGGGAUUAAGGAAGAAAAUGUUCUGGCUGAGAAUUCACUUAUUUCAGGAUCAGAAAAAGAUCAAGCAAAUAAAAAAACGAUACCCAAGGCUCGAGUCAUCAUCACUAGAUCAGUGGGUUCACAUCUUAUAACAGUGUUUGCGCUGGCACUACUGCACAAUCGAGUAAAGAAUGCUAAGUUGGAUAAAAACGACAUCUGGCUAUUAUCAAUGUUGGAUCCUUUCAUCAAACCGCUUGGCAACUGCUUGAGUUCACAAUAUGAGAAUAUUUUAUCCUUAUCCCUAAGAUGCCUCUCUCUGUUGGUGAGGUUGCCUCUGCCAUCCCUUGCAUCCCUGGGUGAUAAAAUAAAAGUAACACUGUUGGAUAUUGCUCAGAGUUCAAUCAAUUCCAGCAGUCCCCUGAUGCAGUCGUGCCUAAAGUUGUUAACUGUGCUUCUCCAGAGUACUAAAAUCACCCUGUCAUCAGAUCAACUACACCUGUUGAUUCAGUUUCCAAUAUUCGAUGAUCUUGAAAAGAAUACUUCCUUUGUUGCUCUUUCGCUUUUAAAAGCAAUUGUUAAGCGCAAACUAGUUGUUCAUGAGAUAUAUGAUCUUAUGACUCGAGUUGCGGAAUUGAUGGUAACUAGUCAAGUGGAAUCAAUUCGAAAGAAAUGUAGUCAGAUUCUAUUGCAAUUUUUGUUGGAUUAUCGUCUAUCGAGAAAACGUUUAGAAGAACAUUUAAGUACUCUUCUUGCAAAUCUAAGGUAUGAGCAUUCCAGUGGAAGAGAAACAGUUCUUGAGAUGCUCUGUGCAAUUGUUAUGAAAUUUCCUAAGAGUAUCAUUGAUGAACACUCUCUUACAUUUUUCAUCCAUUUGGUUUUUUGCUUGGUCAAUGAUCGAGAUACUAAAGUCCGAUCCAUGAUUGGUGCUACUAUAAAACUUCUUACUGGACGCAUCAGCUCACAUUCAUUGAAUUCCAUCCUUGAUUAUGUAUUACCACUAUAUUCAUUUGAACAACACAAAGAGAAACCACAAUUAUGUGGAGCUGCAGCCCAGGUAUUAGGGUUGCUGAUUGAGGUCAUGAGGGGAAACUUUCAAAGGCAUGUUGAUCCAAUAUUGGUAGUGGUUGGAUGGAUCUUGCACUCUGCUGUGGAUGUUGGUCUUCAUCAGGAACAAGAUUGUUCUGAUGAAGUUACUCUCCCUUUCUGGAAUGAUGCAUAUUAUUCACUGGUUAUGCUGGAGAAGUUGCUGUAUCAGUUCCGUGAUCUUUGCUUCAAAAGGGAAUUAGAGGGUAUAUGGGAAGAAAUCUCCAAGUUGCUGUUGCAUCCACAUUUAUGGCUGUGCAACAGAUCAAAUCGCUUGCUAGCCUUGUAUUUCACCACUGUAACAGAGGUUAUCAGAGAAAAUGCUGAAAAUUCAUUUGGAACUUUUGUUCUCCUGAAGCCAGCUAAAAUCUUUAUGAUAGUCAUUUCUCUCUGCUGCCAGCUGAAGGCCCAGGUCACAGAUGAUGAUGUUGUGAACAACCUCCUUACACAAAAUAUUGCUUUUGCAAUUUCUAGUCUGCCGUCUUCAAUGCAACAGAAUGGGUCUGUUGAACCUCACAAGCUUUGGUCUGCUCUUGAACAGCAUGAGCAAGCCCAAUUGCUUAAAGCCUUUCAAUCACUUGAUCCUGGAAAAGGAAGAGGGAUAUUUUUAGCACUUAUCUCUGGUAUGUAUGGCCAGAAUGAUAAUGAACAGUUUAAGGAUCCACAGAAUUUCCUCAUCUCUUAUCUGCUCAAGAGAAUGGGAAAGCUGUCUCUCGAAAUGGGUGCCAUUCAGAUGAAAAUUGUUUUCAAUAUUUUUAAAACCUUAUCAUUGCAACUCAGUCCGGACAAUUGCCACAUCUAUGCAUUUCAAAUGCUGCUACCUGUAUACAAAGUCUCUGAAGGAUUUGCUGGGAAAGUUGUCUCUGAUGAUUUGAAACAAUUAGCACAAGAAGUUCGUGAAAGCAUACGAAACACAUUAGGUAUCCAGACUUUUGUUCAGAUUUAUCAAGAGAUCAGGAAAAGCCUGAAGGCGAAGAGAGACAAGAGGAAACACGAGGAGAAGGUCAUGGCAGUUGUUAACCCGAUGCGGAAUGCGAAGAGGAAGCUUAGGAUUGCGGCAAAACAUUGUGCAAACAAGAAAAGGAAGAUAAUGACGAUGAAAAUGGCUAGGUGGAUGCAUUAAGGAGAGAAUGCAAGUAUUCCAAGGGAUGCAGCCGCCUGGAGGUAGUACCCGUCCCAGCUUUUGAUGACCAAGCUACACUAGGGAUGAUUGACGAGAAUUAAUAUGUUAUAGCAUCUAGUUCGUCCCAUUCUUAAGAUUUGAAAGAGCAUUCAUAAGGCUCCUGAUGGAGGGAGCAGGUGUAUGUAUAGUUGUCUAGAGAAUGGUGUAUGUAUUUGCGGUCUAUGUACAAUGACUCUCUCAUUUUGUUUUUUUUUAGAAGAAUGGUAUUCAUUUUUUGAAUAUGAGAAAGGAAGAGAAGUACAAAAGCAAGAGAUGGAUGUAGGAAUCAACAGUAGAGACAAAAAGGUAAGAUAGAAACUAGGUAUUGGCUUUGGCAGCCUCGGCCUCAGAAUCAAUUCAUCUUGAUAGUCAGCGUUUGAUUUUGACUUGAUUGUAAAUUAUAGUUUGCCAGUUGUUUACUGGACCAUCAAUUUUUGUAAUUAACCUGAGUAUAAUGUAAUUAUCUGCUUACUAAUGGUUUUUAUUUAUUUAUUGAGA